UACGGGGGGGGCGAGCGUUGUUCGGAAUCAUUGGGCGUAAAGGGCGCGUAGGCGGCGCAACAAGUCACUUGUGAAAUCUCCGGGCUUAACCCGGAGCGGUCAAGUGAUACUGCUGUGCUAGAGUGCAGAAGGGGCAAUCGGAAUUCUUGGUCUAGCGGUGAAAUGCGUAGAUAUCAAGAGGAACACCUGAGGUGAAGACGGGUUGCUGGGCUGACACUGACGCUGAGGCGCGAAAGCCAGGGGAGCAAACGGG
rnacentral:rRNA from 1 species